rnacentral:tRNA from 1 species
GGAGAGUUGGCCGAGCUGGCUGAAGGCACACGCCUGCUAAGUGUGUGAACCCGAAAGGGUUCCGUGGGUUCAAAUCCCACACUCUCCGCCA